UUACAGUUCAUGCUCCUUUGAAGUGGCUACUUUGCCUUCUAUAAUAAGGAAAUGCGGAAGCAGAGCCACACAUAACUCAGCAUAACUCAGCCCACUGAGCCGCUUCCAGAGGAAGUAUAAGUAAAGCACAGAAGCUCUGAAAUGGAUGGUAACCACUGUCACAGGAAUUCUCAAAAGGCUCAUUCCACUGGGAAUAAGUUCACCAAGUAGAACUGGAUCCACACCUGCCACUCAAGGAAAGACCUUUCUGUGAAGUUUCCUUAUCUGACUAAGGGAAGUUCUAUGUCCAGAAGGAAGACUGCUGUUAGAAAGUCUCAUUAACCAGGAAAGAUUAAUCACUAGAGAAGACAUGGAACAUCAAAUAUCACCACGAGAGCAUAGACUCCCUUUGUCCCAGGCCACUGUUUGUUCUUCCUGUUCAUUAAUGCCCCCUAAAGAUCAUUUACUGCCCCUCUAAAAUUGUCUACAUUACCUAUUUCCCUCUCCUCUAUGAAGAAGGUAUUUGA